rfam:Pristionchus pacificus strain PS312 contig3976, whole genome shotgun sequence.
GUCCUCAAACAUUCUGGUAUUUCGCAAAUUGAAAAGCGAUACCAGUCUGGAUGAGGCUGA